rnacentral:tRNA from 1 species
GCGCUCGUAGUAUAGGGGUAAUAUGCUGGCUUCCCAAGCCAGCGUCCCGGGUUCAAAUCCCGGCGGGCGCA